CCUGGCUCAGGAUGAACGCUGGCGGCGUGCUUAACACAUGCAAGUCGAACGAAGCACCUCUAAUCGAAGAUUGAGAAAGCUUGCUUUGAUUGAUUCACCUUGAGGUGACUGAGUGGCGGACGGGUGAGUAACGCGUGGGUAACCUACCCUAUACAGGGGGAUAACAGUUGGAAACGACUGCUAAUACCGCAUAAGCGCACAGGACCGCAUGGUCUAGUGUGAAAAACUCCGGUGGUAUAGGAUGGACCCGCGUCUGAUUAGCUAGUUGGUGAGGUAACGGCUCACCAAGGCGACGAUCAGUAGCCGACCUGAGAGGGUGACCGGCCACAUUGGGACUGAGACACGGCCCAAACUCCUACGGGAGGCAGCAGUGGGGAAUAUUGCACAAUGGGCGAAAGCCUGAAUGCAGCGACGCCGCGUGAACGAAGAAGUAUUUCGGUAUGUAAAGUUCUAUCAGCAGGGAAGAAAAAUGACGGUACCUGACUAAGAAGCUCCGGCUAAAUACGUGCCAGCCGCCGC
rnacentral:rRNA from 1 species